rnacentral:rRNA from 1 species
GGAAAUAUGGGGGCGGCAGCGUGGUGAAGAGAGAGGGGGUAAUCGGUAAUCGGAAUUAGUGGGGUGAAAUCGUGCGUAGACGGUUAUGUAAGUCGGGUGUGAAAGCCGCGGGCUCAACCUGGGAAUGCCAGUCGAGACUGCAUAGCUAGGGUGCGGAAGAGGGAAGCGGAAUUUCCGGUGUAGCGGUGAAAUGCGUAGAUAUCGGAAGGAACACCAGUGGCGAAAGCGGCUUCCUGGUCCAGCACCGACGUUCAGGCACGAAAGCGUGGGGAGCAAACAGGAUUAGAUACCCCGGUAGUC